rnacentral:tRNA from 1 species
GGACAGAUGGCCGAGCUGGUUAUGGCGCCAGGUUAAGGUUACCUUAAUCAUAAGAUCUAUGAUCUAAUUUCCUGGUCACGAAAGUGGCGUGGGUUCGAGUCCCACUCUGUUCA